rnacentral:rRNA from 1 species
GUAAUACUACGGGGGGCAGCAGUAGGGAAUUUUCGUCAAUGGGCGCAAGCCUGAACGAGCAAUGCCGCGUGAACGAGGAAGGUCUUCGGAUCGUAAAGUUCUGUUGAAGGGGAAAAAGAGCGGAGAGAGGAAAUGCUUUCUGAUUGAUAUUACCCUUCGAGGAAGUCACGGCUAACUACGUGCCAGCAGCCGCGGUAAUACGUAGGUGUCGAGCGUUAUCCGGAAUGAUUGGGCGUAAAGGGUGCGUAGGCAGCAUGCUAAGUCUGGAGUGAAAGGUACCGGCUCAACCGGUA